CUUGAAAGUCCAAACCAGAGAAGACGUCAGCCUAUGGGCCGCCCAGCACAAACACUACCCUCUUCGUCUGACCGUGACUUCUUCAGCUCACUCGAUCAACCUGAGCACCCUCUCGAGUCUCGAAAAGAAAGCUUUAGCAUCUGCUCAAAGUCCAAUCACCACUAGUAGCAGAACCUAAAGCCAAUGGAUCGAGCUCCCAAUUGCCGAGACCGGGCUGACGCACGACGGCACGACUCAACAGCACCAAAAGGCACCAACAGAAACCCGCUGUAGCUUGAUCCUUAAGCUUGGAAUCCCGACCGCCAUGCCAUGCCAUGUGGUGACGACGACGACGGCUUGCCAAAGGUUCGGUUCCCCCAGGCCCUCCGACGAUGCUCGUCCCGAGUUGGGGGCAAAGCAAAAGCCUCCGCGCUUUGCAGCCGAAUCAGGAUCCGUCGUCGUCAUGCCGCCAGGGCCAAGCCAGCGGGCGAUCGCCAUCCGGGAGGACCAGAUCGCCCUGUCGCCUGCCGUCUCUCCAAAAGAAAGCCACGCGAAUAGCAUCUGAUCUUCCGCGGCGCGCCCAAGAUCUCCCCUGCUGUCGCGUCCGGCCCUCGGCGCCGUCCGCUCGAACCCUUCUCAGGUCUCCUGUUCGCUGCUGCUGCCUGCUGGGUAUAUUAGCCACGCGCAGUCGAGUUCAUGGUCGACCAUGAGCGUCGCGUCCAGCGCUUCAUGGCUGUCGAGGGGAAUGACGUCCGGUCCGAAGACGCUUGCGGCGGCGAGCCGGCGAGGCACCAUGCGGCUUCGGACCAGGCUUCAUUCCCCAUGACUCAUGGAAUGGCAGCGAUCCCGCGAGCUUUGUCCGUUUGUCGUCGCGACCUCAUCAGAAGCCCGGGCCCUCUGGCCUCUGCGACAACGUACGCGUGGAGCAGCAGGGGAGAUGGGACACACCCACCUGACCGGGAACUGAGCAUCGCCGCCGCUACAUGCGAGACCUGCCCUGCAACUGCAACUGAAGGCUAGCGAGAUGCUGCUUGGCUUCAAAGAUUGAAUUAACCAGGGAAAAAGAAGGCACUAGCAGCGAUAUUCACUUCAUCUGCCUGAUUUCAAGCUGAUGCUGCAGCUGCUCAACAUGGAACGCAACAAAGGCUCGGUUCAGACUUCAGAUCAGGGUUCCAAACCCGUGCAAGACCAAAAGCACAAUUCGUGCUGUAACUAGACCACCCCAAGGACCUGAACAGUGCAAUCACAUUACGAAGAACCGAAAAAAAAUAUACCGACGAAGGAUGUCUUCUAUUUCAUCUGGUGCUAACCUGGAGUCUGCAAUGAACACUGAUGCUGCACUGGAGAGCUACUCUGUUACUGAAGAUGAGAUAAUCAGGCUAAAUCAGUGACAUAUGCUUCCUGUACUUGAUUUCGAGCAGAUGCUGCAACCUGCAGCCGCUGGCUCAACAUAGAACAAAACACCAUUCGUUUCAUCCCUGCUAAAAGUAAUAAAGAAGAGAAAAGUUACAUA